rnacentral:pre_miRNA from 1 species
UUGAGAUCAAGGAUGAGAACUGUCUGAAUGGUUGGCAGUCGGAAAUUUUAAUUUAUACCGACGCCAGCUAUGCACACAGUUUAAAUUCGAGAUCUACCAC